CGCGGGGGCAGGGAGCGCCGGAAGUGCCCCCCGCGCGUCCGGGCACUCGGGGCAGGGCCCGGCGCCCACUGGUGCCCGGCUCCCCGGACGGGGCCCCGCCGGAUCCCGGGCCCAGACCUUGACGCCGCGCGACAGGGGCUGCGGCGCGGGGCGCUGAGGGGCGACAGCCGCGGCCACCGCGACCCCGGCCUUCUGGACCCGAGCUCGGAGAGAGAGAGUACAAGCAGAGGGAGAGAGAGAGAAGCAGGCUUCCUGCUGAGCAAGGAGCCGGAUGCGGGGCUCGAUCUCUGGACCCUGGGAUCAUGACCUGAGCCGAAGGCAGACACUUAACGACUGAGCCACCCAGGCGCCCCACACUCAACCAUUUUAAAGAGCAGGUGAUCCCACUAAACUGCCAUCAAGCACAAGAAUCCCCACCCCAGGAUGGCAGACACUCCCACUCUCUCCCCACUCCCUGCUGCUGAGACUCCUGCCACAGAAGCUAGAGAAGCUUCCACCCUACAGCUGGGGGCAGAGGUAGGAAAGAGCAAGCCAGUGGAGCAGCACCAAGGUGCCUUCUUGAGGACAGAGGUUGUGGUCCAGGGCAUUUGCCAUGCAAUCCUCUCCCUUCUCGAAUUCACAAAGCCACACUAGACUCACCACAUUCACUCCUGCCUCUCCGUUGGAAUGCCCUGAUCAUCACCUGGCUCAUUCCUUCAGAUCUCCACUUCUGAGACAGGCCUCCCUCAUCAUCCAGUCCAGUGGCUGGGGUCGAGGUUGAGAUGGAGGGAGAGGCUUUGCAUUAAGUGUGCUCAUGACAGCUCUGGGAAACCACACUUGGCGCUCACCCUGUUCUUUGUCCAAAAGCAUUUAUUGAGAGGACAGGAAGAACCAAGAGGGUGAGCAGAAUGUACCUCAUGAGUAGGACCUCAGAUCCCCCUGGGGAACCAGGCUGAUCAGGGCUGCCCUUACUAGGGUUCCCAGAUUGAGAAAGAUGGAUUCCCAGUUAAAUUCGAAUUUAGUAUUUUUUUGGCAUCAGCAUGCUCCACUUAUUAGGUGUAAUAUACUAAACAUGUGUUCGUCAUUUAUUUGAAAUUCAAAUGUAGCUGGAUAUCCUGUAUUUACCUGGCAAGCCUACCUUGCUCCUGUGGGGGAAGGACAGGAGAGGAGCCUCCUAGCCAUUCUGGCCCCUCCCAGCAAAGCUUCCCCACCUCCAACAGGCUGAAUUACCCAGUUAACUCCUGUUCAGAGUCAGGUCAAGGUGCAUCCAAAGCACAUUCCUGUUCUGCACGGGAUGCAGGCAGAGGCCUUCACCUUGGGCUACAGAGAAUGCAAAAGGCAUAGGAGAUGAGGUUCCCCAGGCCAAAGCUCUGUAAGACACACACACACGGCAUUCAUUCACGCUGUACAACAGUGACUGAUCGCGUGCCAGGUGCUGGGCGACCCUGGGAAAAUAUCAGUGGACGUGACAGGCACAGCCCUGUUCUCUCAGGCCUCAGCUCAUGGAAAGGCAACCCAGAUGCAAGGGUCAGGGAAGGCUUCUGGAGCCUGUGAUGUAGACUCAGAGAGCGACAGGACGGCAGGGGCUCACCUGGCAGAGGGACAGUAGGGAGAGGGCAGGAGUGUCCUGGCCAAAGAAACAGCUAGAGUGGCUAGUGUGCCACGCAGGAGAUGGACACGGCCUGACCGUACAGCCUCGGGGCUCCUGGGCCACUGACAGCAGCGACAAGCCUGAACCGAAGCCGGCGCAGGCUCUGGGAGCUGGGCCUUGCCACGGGAUGGCCGAUCACGGACGGACACCUCCCCUGACCCGUCUACAGAGCGGGGCCCGCCUGCUGCUCGGGGCAGCCCCCUCAGGCCCGCUCCCUGAGGAGCUCGGUCCAACUUUCUCGAAAGGAAAAUGAGUGUGAUUCUGAAAGUACACGGCCACUUCGAUGAGCUGAAGAUGGGACUGGAAUCACUCCGGGAGAAACACCUGUCUUUCUGCUUCAGGGGCAGCAGCCCCAGCAGGGGCAGCCAGAGCGACCAGUGGUCCAGUGAAGGCGUGGCAGGGACGCAGGGGGCUGGCCACGAUGAAGACAGUCACCCGGGACCUCCCGAGUUCCAGGGCGUUGGGCUGAGGGAUGUCACAGGCUGCGCGUCCCAGGCUGACCCCAAAGCUGGCCCAGUCUGGGAAGACAAGACUCAGACAAACAAGAGUAACCUGCUCACAAACCAAUUUAACACUGUGGGACGGCUGGAGAAGCGAAGAGAAUCAGCGUAGUCAGGCCAACCUUUCCCUCUGCCAGGCUCUGAGGGAACUGGACGUGGGUUAGAUAAACAGUGAGGACCAGCCUGGAGCAAGAGGGGGCACGAUGGCCCUGGGCACCCAAGGUAGGAGGCCAUGAAAGGGGUGGGCUUUCCAACCUCCCAGGGUGUUUCCGUGCAGCCCCCUCGGGAGGGAGGGAUCAGGAGGAAGUCUGUUUUCUCUGGCCCUUCCUUUCUUCUUUCCGUCCUCCCUCCCUUCUUUUCCUUUCUUUCAACAAAGGUUUAUU